rnacentral:rRNA from 1 species
UACGUAGGGGGCGAGCGUUAUCCGAAGUUACUGGGCGUAAAGCGCGCGUAGGCGGGCUAUUAAGUCGGAUGUGAAAUCUCCACGGCUCAACCGGGAAACAGCAUCCGAAACUGGUAGCCUUGAGGUAUGGAGAGGGAAGUGGAAUUCCAGGUGUAGCGGUGAAAUGCGUAGAUAUCUGGAGGAACACCCGUGGCGAAGGCGGCUUCCUGGCCAUAUCCUGACGCUGAGGUGCGAAAGCCAGGGGAGCGAACGGGAUUAGAUACCCCGGUAGUCCUGGCCGUAAACGAUGGAUACUAGGUGUUAGUGGUAUCGACCCCACUAGUGCCGUAGCUAACGCAUUAAGUAUCCCGCCUGGGGAGUACGGCCGCAAGGUUGAA